UACAGAGGGUGCGAGCGUUGUCCGGAUUUAUUGGGCGUAAAGAGCGUGUAGGCGGCCAGGUAGGUCUGCUGUGAAAACUCGAGGCUUAACCUCGAGCUGUCGGCGGAAACCAUCUGGCUAGAGUCCGGAAGAGGAGAAUGGAAUUCCCGGUGUAGCGAUGAAAUGCGCAGAUAUCGGGAAGAACACCCGUGGCGAAGGCGGUUCUCUGGGACGGUACUGACGCUGAGACGCGAAAGCGUGGGGAGCGAACAGG
rnacentral:rRNA from 1 species